GCUGCCUGGGACCACGUUGAAAGCACGGGUUCUCGUCCGAUCACCAAAUUUAACUAACGUCGAGCCUUGUGAGUACUUAGAUGGGUGACUGCUGCAUGGGAAACCUAGGUGCUGUAAGCG
rnacentral:rRNA from 1 species